UGCUCUCCAUAUGGGCGUAAAAAACAUCCCCUUGCGGCCUUUUUUGCCCGUCUCCACCUCCACCGGCCCUCCACCACUCUCCUCGGCCACACUUCUCAGAGCGGCUAGCCACGAGUUUCCCUCGCACCGCCGGACUAGGAGGGAUCAAUAGGAGUGGAGGGAGCAGCGGCGCCAGCAGGGAAAACAGGCUGCACGUGAGUUGUUGCUGGCUUUGGUCUCGCAGAGUUGGUGCCGAUGUGAUCCAGGCCGAGCAUCAUGGCGUUGGAGCUAGCUUGAGGAGAGAAGGAGAUGAUGUUUCAUAAAGUGGGGCUGGAGGGCUUCAUCGCCCAUCAGGUCUCCCAGAAGUUUCACCCCUGUUGAGAUCUCCAUCGCCGGCGAGGCUUCCACUUUUUCUGCACCUCCUCUUGCCUUCUUGAUCUGGUUCUCUCUUCUACGCAACCUCCUCCUCUCAAUCGCUACAGUGGCUGGUGUAUGGAGGCGGCCAUGACUAUAGGCAUUCCCGAUCCAACACCUAUGUGACUGCUCGAGUGUCGUGCCAGGCCUUUCCUUGCCUGGGUAUUAGUCUACCCAAAGAGAAUUUGAACUGAACCAUGUUCUGCCCAUGGAUAAGCAAGCGAGCAGGCUGAAGAAUUUCUGAUUAUUUGCAUAAUCAAUGGAUAGAAAGUUACUCUGAUAUCUCAUUUAUGUUAUAAAUGUGUUUGAAUGUUUAAUGGUGUUGGCUCAUUAUUACCAGACCUGAAAUUAGACACUGUAAAAUUAAGGAUUAUCUGGUGGUGCAUAACAAUGUUCUUUGAUUAACGUAUUAAACCAGUCAUGUCUGUUUGUAAAAUAUGUUAACUGUAGACGCAUAUGUAUUUCCUCACUUUAAUUCCAAGAGUUACUUUUUCUACAUUUGCGUCAUUUAAACUUCUGCUACUUCAAAAUGAAGGUAUAGUUUCUCUUAACAACUUGCUUUGUUUAGCAUAAACUGCCCAGAUGUAGCUACUUCUGCAUUUCCUCGGGUACUUUCGAUAUAAGGAUCAGUAUAUGUAUUUUUAUUGUAAUGUUUUACUUCUCUAUUUGAAUCUAUUUUAAAGCUGUAAAGUCAUUUCACUUUGCACGUUCGAGUUCAUAUUAGCAAACUGAUCUUCACUCUGUCUCAUUUUGAAAUGAUUAUUACCAAGGUAAAACUAUAACACAUAGCUUCAGUAAGUUUCUUCCAGAAGCUAGCUUCAGUAAGAUUCCGGUUUUUUCCUAUGUGUCUACCUUCCUGCCAUAGUUAUCCUUUAUAUUUUGUGAAUUUCAUGACCUAAUUGGCAUCCUAUAAAGAGUUAUCUCAUAUGUUCCAUGGCAAACUAAUAUACCUUUCUUAUGCCCAACUCCUGAUUGAAUUGUGUUUGUCCGUGCAAGAUGGCCACCUCUCGCCACGUGUGUCCGGCGUCAGCAGCCAGUAUUUGUGCCUGACACCUCCUGGAGCCCUGGACUCAACAUGGAUCGAUCUGGGCAAUAGUCUUUUUCAGAUCAGGUUCGGGAGCUUCUCCAAGAAUUCUGUGAGGUGAUGCUAUAAGGCCUGGACAGAACUGUGAGGAAUGAUUAGUGCUGCAUUUAAGAAAAUUAAAUAGCUGUUGUCCCGAAUUAAUUUCCCUCCAGGCGUCGAGUUGGGCCGAGGCUUCAGAUAUUUCGCUCUGAACUGCACUCAUCAUUGGUGCUGAUUGCUCUAAACAAAUUACAGUGCCAGAGUUAUUCUUAAGCACUUAAGUUCAGGUGUUUGCAGAAGUUAGCUAGAGUGGUCAAGUGUUACCUACCCAAGCUGGUACAUUUUCAAGGAAGAUAGGCCAGCUAAAUUCAGGUGUUUGGAGCUACAGAUAUUCGUUGCCUAGUCUACUUACAAGAGCUGAUGCAUUUUCGACGAAAACAAUUUGGAUAAUACUUUUGAUUAGCAGCUACUUCUGUAUUAAUUAUGCUGUACUUAGUGGUUUCUGUUGUCUAUCGGUUUCCAUUGGCUUUUGAGGCUGUAAUGAACUUGCUGAAGGCUGUCUUUUGCUUCACCUAUCUUAAG